rnacentral:rRNA from 1 species
AUUGAACGCUGGCGGCAUGCUUUACACAUGCAAGUCGGACGAGUGGCGAACGGGUGAGUAACAUAUCGGAACGUACCGAGUAAUGGGGGAUAACUAAUCGAAAGAUUAGCUAAUACCGCAUAUUAUUCGAGCGGCCGAUAUCUGAUUAGCUGGUUGGUGGGGUAAAGGCCUACCAAUGCGACGAACAGUAGCGGGUCUGAGAGGAUGAUCAGCCCCACUGUGACGUCGACCCGUCCCAGACUCCUACGGGAGGCAGCAGUGGGUAGUUUUGGACAAUGGGCGCAAGCCUGAUCCAGCCAUGCCGCGUGUCUGAAGAAGGCCUUCGGGUUGUAAAGUACUUUUGUCAGGGAAGCGGUACCUGAAGAAUAAGCACCGGCUAACUACGUGCCAGCAGCCGCGGUAAUUC